rnacentral:rRNA from 1 species
CCUACGGGUGGCAGCAGUGAGGAAUAUUGGUCAAUGGGCGCGAGCCUGAACCAGCCAAGUCGCGUGAGGGAGGACGGCCCUACGGGUUGUAAACCUCUUUUGCCGGGGAGCAACGGGCGUCACUUGUGGCUCCACAGAGAGUACCCGGAUAAAAAGCAUCGGCUAACACCGUGCCAGCAGCCGCGGUAAUACGGGGGAUGACUGCGUUAGCCGGAUUUAUUGGGUUUAAGGGGUGCGAAGGCGGAUCGUUAAGUCGGUGGUAAAAUUGUGGGGCUCAACCCCUUCCCGCCAUUGAAACUGGCGCUCUUGAGUGGAAGAGAGGUAUGCGGAAUGCGGGGUGUAGCGGUGAAAUGCAGAGAUA